ACAAUUACUGUUUACUGAGCAAUUGAUCACCUGAACCACAGGGAAUUGCAGGGGAAUAACAAGAAAGGAGUCAAUCUAGGAACAAACUAGAGAGACGUAAUGAAGCAAGACUCAACCCAAUGAGGAUAUAACUCAGGGGAGUAAUUCCAUCCCAAUACAUAUUUAGGGAGGAAACUGAAACAAUAAUCAACCACGAGGACAUAAC
rnacentral:lncRNA from 1 species